CAGGCGGGCCGGAUAGUCGCUCCUGUGACAAAUCAGGAAUGGGAGAGGAAAGUCCGAACUCAGAGGGCGAGCGCAUUCCGAUAAGAUCGGAACACAGGCAAAUUGAGCCUGUCAGGAUAAGAGCCACAGAGACGAGCGCCGGAUUUAAGUCCGGCGGGUGAAACGAGGCAAUCUCUGCGCGAGUUAAGGUCGAAUAGUCCGUGCUUGAGGCUUGCCCGGCCGAACGGACGGGUUGACCGCUUAAGUCCUGGAGUAAUCCGGGAAAUAAGACAAAUGACUAUCUAAAACAGAAUUCGGCUUACGGGCCCGCCUUUUUU
rnacentral:RNase_P_RNA from 1 species